GACGAACGCUGGCGGCGUGCUUAACACAUGCAAGUCGAACGGACCUUCGGGUUAGUGGCGAACGGGUGAGUAACACGUGGGUGAUCUGCCCUGCACUUUGGGAUAAGCCUGGGAAACUGGGUCUAAUACCGGAUAGGACCACGCAUUUUACGGUGUGUGGUGGAAAGCUUUUGCGGUGUGGGAUGGGCCCGCGGCCUAUCAGCUUGUUGGUGGGGUAAUGGCCUACCAAGGCGACGACGGGUAGCCGGCCUGAGAGGGUGACCGGCCACACUGGGACUGAGAUACGGCCCAGACUCCUACGGGAGGCAGCAGUGGGGAAUAUUGCACAAUGGGCGCAAGCCUGAUGCAGCGACGCCGCGUGAGGGAUGACGGCCUUCGGGUUGUAAACCUCUUUCGCCAGGGACGAAGCGCAAGUGACGGUACCUGGAGAAGAAGGACCGGCCAACUACGUGCCAGCAGCCGCCGUAA
rnacentral:rRNA from 1 species